rnacentral:rRNA from 1 species
CCCGGCUCAGAAUCAACGCUGGCGGCGCGCUUAACACAUGCAAGUCGAACGAGAAAGGGAGCAAUACCUGAGUAAAGUGGCGUACUGGUGAGUAACACGUGGAUAUCUACCUCUUGGUGGGGGAUAACCUGGGGAAACCUGGGCUAAUACCGCAUAAGUUCGUGAGAAGAAAGGCGCAAGUCGCCGAGAGAGGAGUCCGCGGUCGAUUAGGUAGUUGGCGGGGUAAAAGCCCACCAAGCCGAAGAUCGAUAGCCGGCCUGAGAGGGCACACGGCCACACUGGCACUGAAACACGGGCCAGACUCCUACGGGAGGCAGCAGUGGGGAAUCUUGCACAAUGGGGGAAACCCUGAUGCAGCGACGCCGCGUGAGCGAUGAAGCCCUUCGGGGUGUAAAGCUCUUUCGGCAGGAACGAUAAUGACGGUACCUGCAGAAGAAGCUGCGGCUAACUACGUGCCAGCAGCCGCGGUAAUACGUAGGCAGCAAGCGUUGUUCGGAAUUACUGGG